CACCACGCCUUGCUGCUCUUAUAAUUAAACGGCCAGCAGCACUACCAGGGAGCACUGCUUGAAAUCUGCAAUCCUUGCAGCAAUCGCGGUGGUAGGUCUGUGCUGGAUGCACUGGACGGGUAGGAAAUCCCCCCUCCUCGAUGACGCUCCACUGAUAAUAGACAGAGGGCUUUUAUGGAAAUUACUAGUGUUGUAAUCUGGAAGAAGGCUGUCAACUGCAGAAAUGACAAGGAAGAGCCAUAGAAAUCUAAUUUCCUGCUAAAUAAUCCUCUCCAAGCAAAGUACAAUUAAUUUGACAUCUUUAUGACAAUGGAUCAGACUGUGAUUAUUUUUUGGAUCCUCUGAAAUGAUUCGACUUGGCAGAUUAUCACUACUAAAGUCUUUGGAAUGAUAUAAAGUUUCUGUCCAAUGGAGCAGAUUUGAGGAUCUGCAUAUGAUCUGGGGUGUGUGUCUGUGUGUUUAUUUUCACUGGAGACAAACUGAAAAGAAUAAUUCUAAAACAAACGUUAUGGAUUUAAUGUUUAAUGUUUGUUAAGAACUGCCAGAGACCAACUUUAAAAUGUGUGUGUGGGAGGGCAGGAACACUCUGAAAUAUGUUCGCUAUUUAUUCAUUUUUUAAAUUUCUGAAUCCUUUGGCAUUGUUACACUGUAGAUGUUACAAAUUAGUAGGGUGGGUCUUCCAAAUGUACCUCAACUUUUGCUUUCUCUGAAAUUUGUUGUCAAAUAUGGCCCAGUUCUUACUGAGGCAUAAAGCCCAUGUCAGGGGUAUGUCACUUCAGACUGCAGAAGGGGGAUCACAAAAUAAAGAUUUAUACAUGCA